GACGAACGCUGGCGGCGUGCUUAACACAUGCAAGUCGAACGGAAAGGCCCUGUUUUUGUUGGGUGCUCGAGUUGCGAACGGGUGAGUAACACGUGAGUAACCUGCCCUUGACUUUGGUAUAACUUCAGGAAACUGGGGCUAAUACCGGAUAGGAGCUCCUGCUUCAUGGUGGGGGUUGGAAAGUUUCGGCGGUUGGGGAUGGACUCGCGGCUUAUCAGCUUGUUGGUGGGGUAGGUGCUUACCAAGGCUUUGACGGGUAGCCGGCCUGAGAGGGUUACCGGCCAGAUUGGGACUGAGAUACGGCCCAGACUCGUACGGGAGGCAGCAGUGGGGAAUAGUGCACAAUGGGCGGAAGCCUGAUGCAACAACGCCGCGUGCGGGAUGACGGCCUUCGGGUUGUAAACCGCUUUCGCCUGGGACGAAGCGUGAGUGACGGUAAUGGGUAAAGAAGCACCGGCUAACUACGUG
rnacentral:rRNA from 1 species